rfam:Camelus ferus unplaced genomic scaffold scaffold190, whole genome shotgun sequence.
GAAGGUAUAGCUCAGUGGUAGAGUGCGUGCUUAGGAUGCAUGAGGUCCUGGGUUCAAUCCCAGUAACUUCA